rnacentral:rRNA from 1 species
AGCAGCCGCGGUAAUUCCAGCUCCAAUAGCGUAUAUUAAAGUUGUUGCAGUUAAAAAGCUCGUAGUUGAAUUUCGGGGUUUAUACGUUGGUCGGGCUUUUGGGUCUGUACUGGCGUUAUGAAUUCCUACCUUCUGAAUAACCAGCAUGCCAUUAAUUUGGUGCGCCGGGGAAGCAGGACUGUUACCUUGAAAAAAUUAGAGUGCUUAAAGCAGGCUAUUGCCUGAAUACAUUAGCAUGGAAUAAUGAAAUAGGACGGCAUGGUUCUAUUUUGUUGGUUUCUAGGAUCACCGUAAUGAUUAAUAGGGAUAGUUGGGGGCAUUAGUAUUCAAUUGUCAGAGGUGAAAUUCUUGGUAUUUAUUGAAGACUAACUUCUGCGAAAGCAUUUGCCAAGGAUGUUUUCAUUAAUCAAGAACGAAAGUUAGGGGAUCGAAGACGAUCAGAUACCGUCGUAGUCUUAACCAUAAACUAUGCCGACUAGGGAUCGGACGAUGUUAAUUUUUAAUUGUACUCGUUCGGCGC